rnacentral:SRP_RNA from 1 species
CCUGGGCAUGGUGGUGGGCGCCUGUAAUUCCAACUACUCAGGAGGCUGAGGCAGGAGAAUCACUUGAAUUUGGGAGACGGAGGUUGCAGUGAACUGAGAUUGCGCCAUUGCACUGCAGCCUGGGCGACAAGAGCGAAAUUCCAUCUUGAAAAAAUAAAAAUUUUGUAUCUUUUUUUUUUUUUUUUACAAAAUGUUUUACAAAAUUUUUAUUUUUUCAAGAUGGAAUUUCGCUCUUGUCGCCCAGGCUGCAGUGCAAUGGCGCAAUCUCAGUCCACUGCAACCUCCGUCUCCCAAAUUCAAGUGAUUCUCCUGCCUC